rnacentral:rRNA from 1 species
UACGAAGGGUGCAAGCGUUACUCGGAAUUACUGGGCGUAAAGCGUGCGUAGGUGGUGGGUUAAGUCUGACGUGAAAUCCCCGGGCUCAACCUGGGAAUUGCGUUGGAGACUGCAAGGCUAGAAUCUGGCAGAGGGGGGUAGAAUUCCACGUGUAGCAGUGAAAUGCGUAGAGAUGUGGAGGAACACCGGAUGGCGAAGGCAGCCCCCUGGGUCAAGAUUGACGCUCGGCACGAAAGCGGUGGGGAGCCAAACGAGG